AGAGUACCCUAUCUCCCUUUAUAUAGAGAAAGCUCGUUUAGGCCUUAAAAAAAGUUUGUUAGGCCGUUAGAAAUCUGUUAGGUUGUUAAAAAUCUGUUAGACAGUUAGGCCAUUAGAGAUCUAUUAGGUCGUUAGGUUGUUAUAACAGAAUAGCCAGCUAUGUGGAGAUCGUGGGAUAGCUACCCAUGUAGUGAUGAACAGGAAAAU
rnacentral:lncRNA from 1 species